UUUGUUUUUUUGUUUCCUCUGUUCUCGCUUGUUCAUUUUUCGAGACGGCGGCUGCGGCGGGAUCAAGGCAGCAGCCACAAUUUUAAAACACGGCAACACGGCGGAGCUGCUCGCUCGCUCGCUCUAGGGCAGGCAGUCCAAGCGUUGUGCGAUCCUGCGCGAGUUUACGCAGAAGGGGGGGGCACCGUUAGGGGAGAAGGCGCCCCCUUUAGAUCCAGGGGGCCCUGCCUUUCGGUGGGAGGCGGGAAGUGCGAUAAAACGGAGCCGUCGGCAAAGAUCGGCUCUCGGGAGAGCCUCGCAAGGCAUGGCAGCAUUUUUAAAAAAAGCCGAGGCGAGCCCCGUUUGUCAUCUUUGCAAAUACUCCGCCUGCGGGACUGCACAAUUCCCAGCAACCGUAGGAAGCAACCUGGUACACCCCGAGGCAUCCCUCUCCGAAGAGUUCCGACCCGUCUCCAGCUCAGCCUCCACCCGAACACUCCUGAUUGGCCAGAGGAGGAGGGGCCCCCGACGAAUGGGGAGGCAGCUCGGCUAGCGGCGUCCCUCCCCUCGGCUUCUCAAGUGGAAGCAAGCGCCACAGCAUCCUCCCGUCCGGGCAGGCCCGUGGAAAGGGGGGUGGCGGCGGCGGCGAGGGCGCUUCUCCUUCUCGCCGGGGGUCUCAGCUUGGGACGCUUGCGCUGCUACUGUGCCUUCGCCGCCCCACCCGCCGCUUCUCUCCUUCCCGCCCUUUCAACCCCCCCCCCUUUGAGGGACACAGAGGGACCCUGGCGAGGGAAGCUCCUUCGAGGUCCCUUCCGAAAGUCACCUGGCGCGAGGUCGUCCUGGCGGGCUUGUUGGCUCGCUGGCCGGCUGGCCUCGCCUCCCUCUCCGGGGGUGACUGAGAAGAGCCAAGGGAGGCGGGGGAGAGAGAGGGGAGGGAAAGGGGAGAGCAAGCAGCCGCUGCCUCCUUCUGCCUUUGGGGCAGCGACACGGUCCGGCCAGUCGCCCCGGAAAAGGGGAGAGAGAGAGAGAAAGAGAGAGACCUCGGCGAGCGAGAGGCGGCGGCGGCGGCGGCUUGACAGAAGCGCCCAAGUUGGGCGUGUGGCGAGAGCUGGUGGGGACGCGGGUGUGGGCCGGAGGCCGCCGAAGGUCGCGCCGGCGUGCGGGAGACACCAUGGUUUUUCUGCAGAGCUUCCUUAG
rnacentral:lncRNA from 1 species